rnacentral:rRNA from 1 species
AAUGAACGCUGGCGGCAGGCCUAACACAUGCAAGUCGAACGAGGCAGCAAUGCCUAGUGGCGGACGGGUGAGUAACGCGUGGGAACGUGCCCCUUGGUACGGAAUAGCCCUGGGAAACGGGGAGUAAUACCGUAUGUGGUCGAGAGACGAAAGAUUUAUCGCCAAGGGAUCGGCCCGCGUUGGAUUAGGCAGUUGGUGGGGUAAUGGCCUACCAAGCCGACGAUCCAUAGCUGGUUUGAGAGGAUGAUCAGCCACACUGGGACUGAGACACGGCCCAGACUCCUACGGGAGGCAGCAGUGGGGAAUCUUAGACAAUGGGGGAAACCCUGAUCUAGCCAUGCCGCGUGAUCGAUGAAGGCCUUAGGGUUGUAAAGAUCUUUCAGUGGGGAAGAUAAUGACGGUACCCACAGAAGAAGCCCCGGCUAACUCCGUGCCAGCCGCCGCAGUAA